rnacentral:tRNA from 1 species
GCCCAGGUAGCUCAGUUGGUAGAGCAGUGGACUGAAAAUCCGCGUGUCGGUGGUUCGAAUCCGCCCCUGGGCA